UAAAAUGAAUUCUUUUUUAAUGGGGAAAAGUGUUUUAACAUUGUUUUGUCAGUUUUUGUUUUUUCUUUUCCCCUCUCUCUCUCUCUUUUUUUUUUUUUAUUUAAAAAUAUAUAAUGUUUUGACAGUGGUUGUAGCCAGUUUCUGAUUGUUUAGUGAAGUACAAUUGCACUUGUACAGAUCCUCAUGUUUACUGGCACCCUGAAAGACCAUAUGAUAGGCUGUACACACCUAUCCCCAACGUCUUUACCCCUUUGGGCAGCAGGCAAUGGCAAAGAUAUUGAUAAACACAGUGUCACUGUAAGAUGGGACAAGAAAUUUCUCUUGUAUGUAUCCCAGCACAUGUGAUUUUUUUUAAUAGUUUCUGAAUAAACACUUGAUAAAUAUUUCAAAUGUAAGAACACAAAAUAAUGAGUAUCUGAAGUUUAAAAUUUCUUGCCAAAAUCAUCUGUUUAUGUAUUGGAUUCUCUUUACUAGCAGUUAUGCUUCAUCAGAAACUUAUAGCACUUUUUAGGCAUAAUGUGUCUUUUUUUUAUUUAUUUAUUUUAAAAAUCUGUUAUUUAAACUGGAACUUGUAGGUGGCAACCCUGCCCAAGGCAAGAGAGUUGAUACUUAAUGAUCUUUAAGGUCCCUUUCAACCCAAGCCAUUCUGUGAUUCUAUGAUAAUUCUACGAUACUAUGAAUCUGUGAUUCUAUGAAAACACAAUAUACGGUAAAUGCCAGCAUACAUAACAUGGGUCAGAGCAACACAUAAAUGUGUUUCACAAACAUACUGAAUAGGAUUGUUUCGUACUUACAUUUUGUUUCUUUGAUAAAAUGUUCUUGAAUAUAUGGAACAGGGUAUAUUUCAUGUGGAGUUUUCUCUUUCUUGUAUAGGUUAUCAUGUUCGCUUUUGUUUGCAGAGUUGCUCACUAAUGCAUAUUUUCUUGCAAAUGAUUUCCGUUCUGUUGUGCUUUACCUAUCCAUGUGCAAUAUGUCACUUUCUACCAAAAAAAAAAAAAAAAAAAAAAGUACAUAACU
ensembl:lncRNA